CACGGGGGGAGCAAGCGUUGUUCGGAAUCACUGGGCGUAAAGGGCGUGUAGGCGGUCAAGUAAGUGGAAUGUGAAAGCCCCCGGCUUACCCGGGGAUCUGCAUCCCAAACUGCUUGGCUUGAGUACGGGAGAGGAUAGGGGAAUUCCUGGUGUAGCGGUGAAAUGCGUAGAUAUCAGGAGGAACACCGGUGGCGAAGGCGGCUCUCUGGACCGGUACUGACGCUGAGACGCGAAAGCUAGGGGAGCAAACGGG
rnacentral:rRNA from 1 species